AUUGAACGCUGGCGGCAGGCUUAACACAUGCAAGUCGAACGAGUGGCGGACGGGUGAGUAAUGCUUGGGAAUCUAGCUUAUGGAGGGGGAUAACUACGGGAAACUGUAGCUAAUACCGCGUACCAUAGGAUGAGCCCAAGUGGGAUUAUGUAGUUGGUGAGGGAAAGGCUCACCAAGCCGACGAACUCUAGCGGGUCUGAGAGGAUGACCGUCUCACCUGGGAAUGAGACACGUCCCAGACUCCUACGGGAGGCAGCAGUGGGGAAUAUUGCGCAAGGGGGGCAACCGGAUGCAGCCAUGCCGCGUGAAUGAAGAAGGCCUUCGGGUUGUAAAGUUCUUUCGGUAGCGAGGCGUUAACUACAGAAGAAGCACCGGCUAACUCCGUGCCAGCCGCCGCGGUAAUAC
rnacentral:rRNA from 1 species